rnacentral:rRNA from 1 species
UACGAAGGGUGCAAGCGUUAAUCGGAAUUACUGGGCGUAAAGCGCGCGUAGGUGGUUCGUUAAGUUGGAUGUGAAAGCCCCGGGCUCAACCUGGGAACUGCAUCCAAAACUGGCGAGCGAGAGUAUGGCAGAGGGUGGUGGAAGUUCCUGUGUAGCGGUGACAUGCGUAGAUAGAGGAAGGAACACCAGGGGCGAAGGCGACCACCUGGGCUAAUACUUACACUGAGUUGCUAAAGCGUGGUGAGCAAACAGUAUUAGAUACCCGCGUAGUCC